ACGGGGGGGAGUCACUCAAGCUAUAUGUGAAGGAUGGAAUUAUUAAACUAGCAAAAAGCAGAAGCCGGAUCCGGCGCCCCAAUCCGGUCCGAACAUGUUAAGUGCGCGGAGGAAUCCAACGUAACGGAGACUCGAACUUGUGAUCUCAAGAAUCAUUGGUGAGAGGCGCUGUCGCUGGACCAUUCCGGCGGGACAACUUUAGACGUGUGUUCAAGACUAAAGAUUUUGUUGCAAAAUCGUACGUAAUACUUUUACUUUUGAUUGUUGUCUUGUCAAUUAGAAGGAAGCUAGAAUUUCCAUUCAUCCACCUUUUAAAUCCUUUUUUUUUUUUUUUUGUCUAAGCAUCUAUUACGACGACUUUUCUAGUGAAACUAGAAGGAUAUAUAGCAUAUACUUUACUUGAGCAAGCAAUUGGGCGUGAAAUGGACUGCCAAUUUUGACUUGCUUGGAAUUACCGUACAGUCACCGGCUUCAAAACUUCUGGUAGCUUUUCGUGUACAUGAACAUUUAUUGUUCCUAGUAAUAUGAAUACAUCAAUUGUCAUCACACUACUAUUCCUAGCA